UUGGGUUGGCCAAAAGGUUUGUUUGGGUUUUUCAUAACAUCUUACAGAAAAACCCAAAUGAACUUUUUGGCCAAC
rnacentral:miRNA from 1 species